UACGGUAGGUGGUAAGCGUUGUCCGGAAUUAUUGGGCGUAAAGCGCGCGCAGGCGGUCCUUUAAGUCUGAUGUGAAAGCCCACGGCUCAACCGUGGAGGGUCAUUGGAAACUGGGGGACUUGAGUGCAGGAGAGAAGAGUGGAAUUCCACGUGGUAGCGGUGAAAUGCGUAGAGAAUGUGGAGGAACACCAGUGGCGAAGGGCGACUCUU
rnacentral:rRNA from 1 species